GACGAACGCUGGCGGCGUGCUUAACACAUGCAAGUCGAACGGAAAGGCCCUGCUUUUGUGGGGUGCUCGAGUGGCGAACGGGUGAGUAACACGUGAGUAACCUGCCCUUGACUUUGGGAUAACUUCAGGAAACUGGGGCUAAUACCGGAUAGGAGCUCCUGCUGCAUGGUGGGGGUUGGAAAGUUUCGGCGGUUGGGGAUGGACUCGCGGCUUAUCAGCUUGUUGGUGGGGUAGUGGCUUACCAAGGCUUUGACGGGUAGCCGGCCUGAGAGGGUGACCGGCCACAUGGGGACGGAGAUACGGCCCAGACUCCUACGGGAGGCAGCAGUGGGGAAUAUUGCACAAUGGGCGGAAGCCUGAUGCAGCAACGCCGCGUGCGGGAUGACGGCCUUCGGGUUGUAAACCGCUUUCGCCUGUGACGAAGCGUGAGUGACGGUAAUGGGUAAAGAAACACCGGCUAACUACGU
rnacentral:rRNA from 1 species